rnacentral:rRNA from 1 species
UACAGAGGGUGCAAGCGUUGUUCGGAAUUACUGGGCGUAAAGGGCGUGUAGGCGGCUUGUUAAGUUCCGUGUGAAAUCCCCAGGCUUAACCUGGGAAGUGCGCGGAAAACUGGCGAGCUUGAGUGCCGGAGAGGGUCGCGGAAUUCCCGGUGUAGAGGUGAAAUUCGUAGAUAUCGGGAGGAACACCAGUGGCGAAGGCGGCGACCUGGACGGACACUGACGCUGAGGAGCGAAAGCGUGGGGAGCGAACAGG